GACGAAGUAAAAAUUUUAUAGCUUAGUUACAUUAAGAAGGUCCACUACAUGUGGCGUC
rnacentral:tRNA from 1 species